rnacentral:rRNA from 1 species
AGUGAACGCUGGCGGUAGGCCUAACACAUGCAAGUCGAACGGCAGCACAGUAAGAGCUUGCUCUUACGGGUGGCGAGUGGCGGACGGGUGAGGAAUACAUCGGAAUCUACUUUUUCGUGGGGGAUAACGUAGGGAAACUUCCGCUAAUACCGCAUACGACCUACGGGUGAAAGCAGGGGAUAUUCGGACCUUGCGCGAUUGAAUGAGCCGAUGUCGGACUAGCUAGUUGGCGGGGUAAAGGACCACCAAGGCGACGAUCCGUAGCUGGUCUGAGAGGAUGAUCAGCCACACUGGACCUGGGACACGGUCCAAACUCCUACGGGAGACAGCAGUGGGGAAUAUUGGACAAGGGGCGCAAGCCUGAUCCGGCCAGACCGCGGGGGUGAAAAAGGCCUUCGGGUUGUAAGCCCUUUUGUUAGGAAAGAAAAGCAGCAGGUUAAUACCCCGCUGUUCUGACGGUACCCAAAGAAUAAGCACCGGCUAACUUCGUG